UACAGGGGGGGCAAGCGUUGUUCGGAAUUACUGGGCGUAAAGGGCUCGUAGGCGGCCAACUAAGUCACACGUGAAAUCCCCAGGCUUAACCUGGGAACUGCGUGUGAUACUGGAUGGCUUGAAUCCGGGAGAGGGAUGCAGAAUUCCAGGUGUAGCGGUGAAAUGCGUAGAUAUCUGGAGGAAUACCGGUGGCGAAGGCGGCAUCCUGGACCGGCAUUGACGCUGAGGCGCGAAAGCCAGGGGAGCAAACGGG
rnacentral:rRNA from 1 species